UGUGAAUGUGGCUGGCUUGG
rnacentral:misc_RNA from 1 species